rnacentral:rRNA from 1 species
UACGAAGGGUGCUAGCGUUGUUCGGAAUUACUGGGCGUAAAGGGCGCGUAGGCGGUGCCUCAAGUCAGGCGUGAAAUCCCUCGGCUUAACCGGGGAACUGCGUCUGAUACUGGAUGGCUUGAGUUCGGGAGAGGGAUGCGGAAUUCCAGGUGUAGCGGUGAAAUGCGUAGAUAUCUGGAGGAACACCGGUGGCGAAGGCGGCAUCCUGGACCGACACUGACACUGAGGAGCGAAAGCCAGGGGAGCAAACGGG